UGGGGAAUCUUGCACAAUGGGGGAAACCCUGAUGCAGCGACGCCGCGUGAACGAUGAAGCCCUUCGGGGUGUAAAGUUCUUUCGACAGGAACGAUAAUGACGGUACCUGGAGAAGAAGCUGCGGCUAACUACGUGCCAGCAGCCGCGGUAAUACGUAGGCAGCGAGCGUUGUUCGGAGUUACUGGGCGUAAAGAGUGCGUAGGCGGCGAGCCAAGUUUGGUGUGAAAUCUCCUGGCUUAACCGGGAGGGUGCGCCGAAAACUGGUUGGCUGGAGUAUGGGAGAGGAAAGCGGAAUUCCUGGUGUAGCGGUGAAAUGCGUAGAUAUCAGGAGGAACACCUGCGGUGUAGACAGCUUUCUGGACCAAAACUGACGCUGAGGCACGAAAGCGUGGGUAGCAAACA
rnacentral:rRNA from 1 species